ACGAACGCUGGCGGCGUGGAUUAGGCAUGCAAGUCGAACGAGAAGAGAUUUCUACCGAUCUUCGGGUGAAGUAGUGCUCGAGUACAGUGGCGAACGGGUGAGUAACGCGUGGGAAAUCUGCCCUUAAGUCUGGAAUAACGCUUCUAACGGAGUGCUAAUACCGGAUAAGUUCUUUUUUUCGCAUGGAAAGCAGAGUAAAGGUGGGGAUCUUUGGACCUGCCGCUUAGGGAUGAUCCCGCGUCAUAUUAGCUUGUUGGUGAGGUAACGGCUCACCAAGGCAGCGAUAUGUAGCCGGCCUGAGAGGGUGUCCGGCCACACUGGGACUGAGAUACGGCCCAGACUCCUACGGGAGGCAGCAGUCGAGAAGCAUCCGCAAUGGGGGAAACCCUGACGGUGCGACGCCGCGUGGGUGAUGAAGGCUCUCUGAGUCGUAAAGCCCUGUCAGAAGGGAAGAAACGUUACAGGUGUAAUAUAUCUGUAGCCUGACGGUACCUUCAGAGGAAGCUCCGGCUAACUCCGUGCCAGCAGCCGCGGUAAUACGGGGGGAGCAAGCGUUGUUCGGAAUCACUGGGCGUAAAGGGCGUGUAGGCGGUUUCGCAAGUCAGAAGUGAAAACCACCGGCUUAACCGGGUGGCCUGCUUUUGAAACUGCAAGACUUGAGUACGGAAGAGGAGAGCGGAAUUCCUGGUGUAGCGGUGAAAUGCGUAGAUAUCAGGAAGAACACCGGUGGCGAAGGCGGCUCUCUGGUCCAGUACUGACGCUGAGGCGCGAAAGCCAGGGGAGCGAACGGGAUUAGAUAUCCCGGUAGUCCUGGCCGUAAACGAUGAGAACUAGGUGUAGGUCGUAUCAACC
rnacentral:rRNA from 1 species